AGUUUGAAACUGUUAAAUCUGGAGUAUUGGUCAUGGAUCCAAUUCCAGAAAUGGAGAAGGUGCUCAACAUGACCUUGAAAGUUGAGAGGAAGAUCAAAGG